ensembl:lncRNA FRG1-DT FRG1 divergent transcript
GGUCCUCGCCGGGGCGGGAAGCGGCUCAGGCUGCCCUCGCUGGCCUGCGGCGGCGCGGCUGGAAGCGCGGGCCACUCGUGCGUGGGUCACUCAGGACUGCGCCUCGCGCGACUGUGUGUGCAGGAAACAAGCAGGAAAUACCCUAAAAGAGAAUGAAGCGCCAUGUUGAGGGUCGCGGACGUCGCGAGUGCUGUGGGAAUGUGGGCUGAGGUGGAGAGUUAUGGUAGCCCGUGUUACAGGCUCAGGGGUCUGAAAGAAGCCUAAUCGUGGAGGCGGCAUCUGAGGAGGGUCUUGAAGGCUGGGCAGGCAUUUGCCCGACAGAGAUGGAGGAAGCUAGUCCUGUCUGAUGGAGGAAACAGGGCGGAGGCGUGGAGGGAGCCGUGCAGCGCUGGUGUGAGGAGCAGCGAGCAGGCCAGGCCUGUAAAGCAGAGUGAGGGAACCAGGAUAGAGAAGGCAAGUCGGGGUCCUGUGGUCGCUGAAGAAUUUGAAUGAAAUCAGUAAACAGGUGAGAGGGAUCCAUCGCAAGAGCAUGGGAUGAAAGGAGGAGUAGUCCACGGUGAUUCCUCUGCAGCGGUGGGUGUUAUUAAUCGCGUAUGUGACACCAAAACCACCCCACUCAAGCUGUGGCUCUUUCCCUAAAGUAGAAAACCGAGACCAGUUGGGUUCCAAGCAUCCACGAAGAUCUUAUUAAAUUCGUGAUCCCUGGUGGCACCAUGGAGUCAGGAUUGGCUCAUCUCAAACCUGACUCAGAAACAAAACCGUCACAAUGUGCAGAGAUGAGCGUCCUUACCGCUAUCAACGUAUUUUCUGGUGUUUUCACAGUGCUGCGCUUCCUAAUCCCCAUUCCAUGGCAAUCCACAUGCCAUGAUGCCCGGAGUCAUUAACAAAGGAGACACACAGGGGCUCCUCACGUUGGCUUUCCAGGGUUUUGAUGAAAAUCUGUUUCCUCGUCUCAUACAAUGUGGUUAGUAAUAGUAUCAUUUAGGGUUGAAGAAUUAAAUGGUACGAGUUAUAUAGGGUGCUUAUUAUAACCUACAUGGAAAAUGCCUAGGAUAUGUUAGCUAUGCUCAUCACCAACAUCGUUAUAUGAUGGUAAUAAUCAGAUAGUCAGGAAGCCUGACACCAAGAAAAUGGAUACAUGCUCUGAAGGAAUGAAUGUGGAGAGAUCAGAAGGUCAAGAACAAAGUCGUACAAUAUGUCUACAGUAAAGGGAUAGAGAAAAGAAAGGCUAUAAAAGAAGGAAUGAAACAGAGUUAAAUUAUAGAAAUCAAAGCUAAGGAGAAUUUCCAGAAAGGGUAGUAUCAUUUAAUAUCAUAGAAGUUUAGGAGCCCAAGAUGGAAAAAAGGCCUCUGGGUAACUGACAUUGAGGCAGUCUUUGGGGAAGCUCCAUUUCCGAUAGAGAAGUAGACUGAAAGUCAGCUUGAAGCAGGGACUAGGUGAAGAAGCUGUUGGCUGGUCGCAUGGGGAAAUAAAUAAGGGAUGGCAUAUGCCG